GUUCCUGGUCCGUCGGACGCUAGGACCCUACGGACCCUCUUGGCUUUGCUUCCCUUUAUACAGCUGCUCUGAUUGGCUGCCUCUGUUCCUCCGGCCACGCUCACAACCCCAGCGGUCCUCCUCCCUUCUUCUCUGUUGGUCUUGAUCUUCCUCUGAGUUUCUCCUCCUUUCAUCCCACUCUCCAUCAGAGGCCUUACGGAAGCUCUCUCGUCCUCUCUUUCCGUCUCCUUCUCUACGUCACGUUUGAGGUUGCAGGUUUUUACGGUGUCGGUGAGCUCCACACUGGGAGAUUUGAUUUGGGGCACGUCCAUCUCUUUAUCAGACAUACUCCUCUCUUCCUUUCUUGUUUUCCUCUCUUUCCCCUCUUCCUCCUCCUCCUCCUCCUUCCUCCUCCUCUUCUCAGAUUUGGUGUCUGGAGCUUUGCCAGAGGCUCUCUCCUGCUCUCUACCCAGCCUGUUGUCAGCCUCUCUCCUGGGCUUGGCCUCUCUCCCUGAGCCCCUGUCCUGCCGAACCCCUGUAUCUCUCUUCCCUCUCUGCUCCUCCUUGGCUGGUCUGGAAUGGUCCAGGUCUGUUCUGACAGGUUUAAACUGGUUUGGGUCGGUUCUAACUGGUUUAAACUGGUCUGGGUCGGUUCUGAACGGUUUAAACUGGUCUGGGUCGGUUCUAA
rnacentral:lncRNA from 1 species